UACGUAGGGUGCGAGCGUUAAUCGGAAUUACUGGGCGUAAAGUGUGCGCAGGCGGCCGCGCAAGUCGAGUGUGAAAUCCCCGAGCUUAACUUGGGAAUUGCGCUCGAAACUACGUGGCUGGAGUGUGGCAGAGGAAGGUGGAAUUCCACGUGUAGCGGUGAAAUGCGUAGAUACGUGGAGGAACACCGAUGGCGAAGGCAGCCUUCUGGGCCAACACUGACGCUCAUGCACGAAAGCGUGGGGAGCAAACAGG
rnacentral:rRNA from 1 species